rnacentral:rRNA from 1 species
UGAUUGACGGUGCUUGCACCUGAUUGAUUUUGGUCGCCAACGAGUGGCGGACGGGUGAGUAACACGUAGGUAACCUGCCCAGAAGCGGGGGACAACAUUUGGAAACAGAUGCUAAUACCGCAUAACAACGUUGUUCGCAUGAACAACGCUUAAAAGAUGGCUUCUCGCUAUCACUUCUGGAUGGACCUGCGGUGCAUUAGCUUGUUGGUGGGGUAACGGCCUACCAAGGCGAUGAUGCAUAGCCGAGUUGAGAGACUGAUCGGCCACAAUGGGACUGAGACACGGCCCAUACUCCUACGGGAGGCAGCAGUAGGGAAUCUUCCACAAUGGGCGCAAGCCUGAUGGAGCAACACCGCGUGAGUGAAGAAGGGUUUCGGCUCGUAAAGCUCUGUUGUUAAAGAAGAACACGUAUGAGAGUAACUGUUCAUACGUUGACGGUAUUUAACCAGAAAGUCACGGCUAACUAUGUGCCAGCAGCCGCGGUAAUACGUAGGUGGCAAGCGUUAUCCGGAUUUAUUGGGCGUAAAGAGAGUGCAGGCGGUUUUCUAAGUCUGAUGUGAAAGCCUUCGGCUUAACCGGAGAAGUGCAUCGGAAACUGGAUAACUUGAGUGCAGAAGAGGGUAGUGGAACUCCAUGUGUAGCGGUGGAAUGC